GUCUUAUUGAUUAUAAUUUUAAGUCUGAUCUGCCCAGUGAUUUAUUAAAUGGCUGCAGUAUUUUAACUGUACAAAGGUAGCAUAAUAAUUAGUUUCUUAAUUAGAAACUGGAAUGAAAGAUUGAACGAGACAAUAACUGUCUUAAUUUAAAUUUAAGAAUUUUAUUUUUAAGUUAAAAAGCUUAAAUAUAUUUAAAAGACGAGAAGACCCUAUAGAAUUUUAUAUUAUUAUAAUGUUUAAGUAUUAGUAUAUAAAUAUUAAAUUUUUAUAAAAGUAUUUAGUUGGGGUGAUUGAAAAAUUUAAUUAACUUUUUUUAUUAAUGAGCCAUUAAUUUAUGUUUUUUUGAUCCAAUAUUUUUGAUUAUAAGAUUAAAUUACCUUAGGGAUAACAGCGUAAUUUUUUUAGAGAGUUCUUAUCGAUAAAAGAGAUUGCGACCUCGAUGUUGGAUUAAAAUUAAUUUUUAAUGUAGAAGUUAAGAUAUUAGGUCUGUUCGACCUUUAAAAUUUUACAUGAUCUGAGUUUAAAUCGGCGUAAGCCAGGUUGGAUUCUAUCUUUAAUAAGUUUUAAUAUUUUAGUACGAAAGGACCAAAUAUUAUUUAUAAUAAAUUUUAAAGAAUAAUA
rnacentral:rRNA from 1 species